AACAAAGCGGCGUAUGUGAUAAAAUGGACAUCAAGUAGUUGACUGACUCAUAAAGCUACAGUAUGUCUAAUAUAUUUGCUGAUGCUUAACUCAUGUUGGUUAUUAGCUAUUUAAAAAUUGAAAUGGUUUCACAUUUCUACUAAAAGUCAAUAAUUUGGUUUGGAAUUUGCAUUUGUUUGACGAUUUCCUAUGGAUGAAAAAUUGAUCCUGAUAAAUGAUAUUGCUUUCUACUCAAGAAGCUGUGAUAUUUAAAAUGGGGAAUCUGUUAUCCACUGACAUCAAUAA
rnacentral:misc_RNA from 1 species